UGCCACAGCUAUAUCAGCCUGCAGCCCAAGACCGGUUACUCACUGAAGCUAAGCAGGGCUGAGCCUGGUCAGUACCUGGAUGGGAGACCACAUGGGAGAAUGUUGGAAGUGGUGUUAG
ensembl:rRNA 5S_rRNA 5S ribosomal RNA